CCCAGUCGUUACUGCCAAACAUGUAAAGUUUACCAUUCCCUGUAACAACAGCAGUGUGUUCAUCUCCGCAUGAUAUGUGGACCGGCUUGUCAUUUUUGAACCAGAACUUGCUAGGAAUAUUUUCUGCAAAGUUGCUUUUUCCAAAAGUAAAAACAGCCCCCGAUUCGGGCACCGGCAGCUCUUCCUCCUCCGCGGGUUCGGCCAUAGCAACGCGCAGCCAGCGUUCGGCCCC
rnacentral:lncRNA from 1 species